UGAUAUUUCCUUUGCUAAUUUCAGGUCUUCUUGUCCAGAGUUCAUGUUCUCCCGCUAUUUUGGGGAAGCGUUCGUGCAUCCCAGAGUCCCAUACGCCAGGCAAACAAAAAACAAAGCGGCAAAGAAAUAAUAAACGCAAAAGAGAAGCAAAAAAACAUUUUCAAAUGGAAAAAAUAAUGUGUGUCAAAAUGAGCAAGACCAAUGGCAGACUGUUGGACAACCGAAGAACAGACUUUAAUAAUGGGACUGUUUCAUAUUUGACAGGAUCAAUGACUGUCUGGUGGUGAAAAACCAUUUGUGCUUGUUGGAACUGUUUCUUGUAUUAUAGUCAGUUGGAGCAACUGGCAAUGACUCAGUAAACUUUUCCUUGGUUAAUUUUAGAUGUGUUAAAAUUUUUGCCAUUUCCACCAAGUUACCCAUACCAUUUGUUUGUAGCUUUAAAUAGCACCUGAAACUUGACAUUGCAUACUGUAGUCCACAUUGCUGCAGAAUGCCUUACUACGGAUGUAAAUAUAACACAGAUACAUGUACAGGCAUAAUACAGAUAGUGUCUCACACAAAUAGUGUACAGCAUUAUACCCAGGCAUUCACCAAGUCAAUGUUGAAAAUAAUAGUUCUGUGUAAAUUUUACCCCACCCAGGCC